rnacentral:tRNA from 1 species
UGGGCUUAUCGUCUAACGGAUUAGGACAAAAACCUUCUAAGUUUUAAUGUAGGUUCGAUUCCUACUAAGCCCAUC